GGGGUUGUAGCUCAGUGGCAGAGCAUCUGCUUUGCAUGCAGAAAGUCCCAGGUUCAAUACCUGGCAUCUGCU